rnacentral:rRNA from 1 species
UAGUCUGGUGCCAGCAGCCGCGGUAAUUCCAGCUCCAAUAGCGUAUAUUAAAGUUGUUGCAGUUAAAACGCUCGUAGUCGGAUUUCGGGGCAGGUUUGCCGGUCUGCCGAUGGGUAUGCACUGGUAGAACUGUCCUUCCUUCCGGAGACGGCGCCUACUCUUAACUGAGCGGGUGUCGGAGACGGAUCGUUUACUUUGAAAAAAUCAGAGUGUUUCAAGCAGGCAGCUCGCUUUUGCAUGGAUUAGCAUGGGAUAAUGAAAUAGGACUUUGGUGCCAUUUUGUUGGUUUCGAACACCGAAGUAAUGAUUAACAGGGACAGUCAGGGGCACUCGUAUUCCGCCGAGAGAGGUGAAAUUCUUAGACCAGCGGAAGACGAACCACUGCGAAAGCAUUUGCCAGGGAUGUUUUCACUGAUCAAGAACGAAAGUUAGGGGAUCGAAGACGAUCAGAUACCGUCGUAGUCUUAACCAUAAACCAUGCCGACUAGGGAUUGGAGGAUGUUCCUAUGUGACUCCUUCAGCACCUUUCGGGAAACUAAAGUCUUUGGGUUCCGGGGGGAGUAUGGUCGCAAGGCUGAAACUUAAAGGAAUUGACGGAAGGGCACCACCAGGAGUGGAGCCUGCGGCUUAAUUUGACUCAACACGGGGAAACUUACCAGGUCCAGACAUUGUGAGGAUUGACAGAUUGAGAGCUCUUUCUUGAUUCGAUGGGUGGUGGUGCAUGGCCGUUCUU